GUGAGGAAUAUUGGACAAUGGGCGCAAGCCUGAUCCAGCCAUGCCGCGUGCAGGAAGACACAUCUAUGGUGUGUAAACUGCUUUUGUACGGGAAGAAACACUCCCUCGUGAGGGAGCUUGACGGUACCGUAAGAAUAAGGAUCGGCUAACUCCGUGCCAGCAGCCGCGGUAAUACGGAGGAUCCAAGCGUUAUCCGGAAUCAUUGGGUUUAAAGGGUCCGUAGGCGGUUUAAUAAGUCAGUGGUGAAAGCCCAUCGCUCAACGAUGGAACGGCCAUUGAUACUGUUAGACUUGAAUUACAAGGAAGUAACUAGAAUAUGUAGUGUAGCGGUGAAAUGCUUAGAUAUUACAUGGAAUACCAAUUGCGAAGGCAGGUUACUACUUGUGGAUUGACGCUGAUGGACGAAAGCGUGGGGAGCGAACAGGAUUAGAAACCCGGGUAGUCC
rnacentral:rRNA from 1 species